UACUGCGGUAUUCUGGAGCUAAUACAUGCGUCCGAGCCCCGAACUCACGUGAGGGGCGCUUUUAUUAGAUCAAGGCCGAACGCCCGGCAACGGGCGUCCCCCCUGGCGACUCUGAAUAACUUUGAGCGGAUCGCACGGCCCCGUGCCGGCGACGCGUCCUCCCGAGGUGUGCCCUAUCAACUGUCGACUGUGGCAUCGACGCCCACAGUGGUCUUGACGGGUGACGGGGAAUCGGGGUUCGGUUCCGGAGAGGGAGCCUGAGAGACGGCUACCACUUCUAAGGAAGGCAGCAGGCGCGCAAAUUACCCACUGGCCGCGGGCCGAGGUAGUGACGAAAAAUAACGACGCCGGACUCAUCCGAGGCCCGGCGAUCGGAAUGGGCACAGCCUAAAUCCUUUAGCGAGGAACCACUGGAGGGCAAGUCUGGUGCCAGCAGCCGCGGUAAUUCCAGCUCCAGUAGCGUAUGUUAAAGUUGUUGCGGUUAAAAAGCUCGUAGUUGGAUCUCGGCGGGCCGGGGGCGGCGCGGCCCCCAAGCGUCGCUGCCGCCCCGUCGCUCCCUCGCGGGAGCGUUGGCCCGUUCCCCCCUCCCUCGCGGGAGGGGCUUUAUCGGCGGAGGCCGGCGGGUGCUCUUAACCGGGUGUCCGCUCCGGCGCCGUCGGGUUCGCUUUGAAAAAAUUAGAGUGCUCCAGGCAGGCCUGACGCGCCUGAAUAGUCGUGCAUGGAAUGAUGGAACAGGACGUCGCUUCCAUUCCGUCGGUCCUUGGGAAGUCGACGUGAUGAUUGACAGGGACGGUCGGGGGCGCGACAGAGGUGAAAUUCUUGGACCGCCUGAAGACCCGCGGCUGCGAAAGCGCUCGCCAAGAACGUUUUCAUUAAUCAAGAACGAAAGUCAGAGGUUCGAAGGCGAUCAGAUACCGCCCUAGUUCUGACCAUAAACGAUGCCAGCCGGCGAUCCGCGGCUGUUUUCGACGUAGGCUCCGCGGGAAGCCUCCGGGAAACCACGAGCGUUCGGGUUCCGGGGGGAGUAUGGUUGCAAAGCUGAAACUUAAAGGAAUUGACGGAAGGGCACCACCAGGAGUGGAGCCUGCGGCUUAAUUUGACUCAACACGGGGAACCUCACCAGGCCCGGACACCGGCAGGAUUGACAGAUUGAGAGCUCUUUCUCGAUUCGGUGGGUGGUGGUGCAUGGCCGUUCUUAGUUGGUGGAGCGAUUUGUCUGGUUAAUUCCGAUAACGAACGAGACUCUGUCCUGCUAACUAGGGAGGGGGUCCGCGGGGGCCGGUUUCGGCCGGCCCUCUGGUCCUGUUGGGCGCCCCCUCCCGCAUCUUCUUAGAGGGACCGGCGGCGUUCAGCCGCACGAGACUGAGCAAUAACAGGUCUGUGAUGCCCUUAGAUGUCCUGGGCCGCACGCGCGCUACACUGAAGGGACCAGCGUGUCGCCUCCCUUCCCGAGAGGGACGGGUAACCCGCUGAGCCCCCUUCGUGGUAGGGACCGGGGCUUGCAAUUGUUCCCCGCGAACCAGGAAUUCCCAGUAGGCGCGGGUCAUCAGCCCGCGUCGAUUACGUCCCUGCCCUUUGUACACACCGCCCGUCGCUACUACCGAUUGAACGUUUUAGUGAGGCAUUCGGACCGGGCCUCGGCCGGCUCGCGCCGGCCGCGC
rnacentral:rRNA from 1 species